rnacentral:lncRNA from 10 species
GUCGGGGUGAGGUGGCUGGAAAGAGUCUCAGGGAAUUGAUGAUCUGUGUGUUUCUUCCCCAGCAUCUUUGGCUCCCAGACAUUUGGAGGUCCCCCACCUGUGCUAUCAACAGAAGAUCCAGUAUCUGUAGAAAGCUGGAUGGGUCAGCUCGCUCCUGCUCCUCACUGCCACGUGGCACCACUGCUGAUAUUGACACUGGCCCUGCACCACACAGCAGCAGCCCUGUGUACCCUGGGUAGAGCGCCUGUCUGAACCAGAUUCCUGCAGAAGGAUUCCUACAGAAGAAGGAUGAACUCAUUCCCUCAGUCAAGGGUCAUAAACUGGCCACCUGUGUGCCAAAUCUGACCCUCAGUAGUGGUUUAUUUGACAACACACAUUUCAUGGCUAAUAUUAAUGUCUGUGUUUUACACACAGCCUCAUAGAAGCCUUUAUAUCGCCUGCCUGGUGUCUCGAGGCAUUUGUGUUAUAAUCCUGGUCCUGGUGCUGGGUCUAAUCAGAGAAGCAGCAUGCUUUGACUCCCAAUUACGGGGCUCUCUGAACACAGCCAGUUCUGAGAACUCUCUCCUGGAAUGGGGCACCAUUUCCAUCUCUUCCCAGAGAUCCAUGCCAGGGGCUGGGCAGCUUUUUCAUUUAAUCUCUGGACACAGAAAAGGCCUCAUUAAAUCCUUUCUUUGAGUAGUAGUACUAUAUAGCCACACAGCCUAUACCCUCUACACUUCUGAGAGCCGUUAUCUUCCAUGACCACAAGUGUCCUCAGGUACCCUCCUGGGCUGGUGGUAGAGAGGUUCUCACAUUCAAUGACUCAAAUCAAAGUGAAUUUCCUGGCACCUUUUCUCACUAGAGAAGAUUAUCUGUGACUGGGUUGCCUAUAAGCCAUAUAGAUACAAACUUUUAUCUCUAAUACCAAGUCUUAGAGGGAUAUAUUAAUAGAUCUAAUAAAUUUAUUCUUAGACUUAUUGUUUCAUGGGCUAGUGAGUCUUUGCUACUGGAGACAAUACAGACUUGUCAGUUUUUUAAAAAAAAAAAAUUUGCCAAGCUAGCACAUUAAAAAGAUCUCCUAAGGCUAUCAUUUUAUGAGGAUGAUUAUAAACAUUUCUGUGAUAAAUAUCACCAUAAUAAACUGUUAAGUACAACUGCAAGUAUACCCUUAGAGUGAAUUCCUACAGUUAGAAAUUUAUAUUUUUGCCAGCUGCAGUGGCUCAUGCCUGUAAUCCCAGGACUUUGGGAAGUCGAGGAGGGAGGAUUGAGGCCAGAAGUUUGAGACAAGUCUGGGAAACAUAGCAAGGCUCCAUCUCUGCAAAACAAAACAAAAAUAAUUUAGGAAGGCAUGGAGGUACAGGUCUGUAGUUCCAGCUACUUGGCUGAGGCAGGAAGAUCGCCAGAGCCCAGGAGCUUGAGGCUGCAGCAGUGAGCAGUGUUUGUGCCACUGCAUUCCAGCCUGGGCAACACAGCAACACCUUGUGUCAAAACAACAACAAAAACAAAACAAAUUUGAGAUUUUUUUUAGCUUAUUAUUAUUGCUGUAAUAAAAUUAUUGAAUUUGUUCCUUUAUUUCGUAAUUGACUUGCUUUCUAGAAAUUUUAUAAGAUAAUGUUUUUGCACUAGAAGUCACUGCUGAGUUAACAAAGUCUCCCAA